rnacentral:rRNA from 1 species
GACGAACGCUGGCGGCGUGCCUAAUACAUGCAAGUAGAACGCACAGUUUACACCGUAGCUUGCUACACCAUAGACUGCGAGUUGCGAACGGGUGAGUAACGCGUAGGUAACCUGCCUGGUAGCGGGGGAUAACUAUUGGAAACGACAGCUAAUACCGCAUAAUAUUCAUUAUUGCAUGAUAAUUAAUUGAAAGGUGCAAUUGCACCACUACCAGAUGGACCUGCGUUGUAUUAGCUAGUAGGUGAGGUAACGACUCACCUAGGCGACGUUACAUAGCCGACCUGAGAGGGUGAUCGGCCACACUGGGAGUGAGACAGGGCCCAGACGCCUACGGGAGGCAGCAGUAGGGAAUCUUCGGCAAGGGACGAAAGUCUGACCGAGAAACGCGGAGUGAGUGAAGAAGGGUUUCGGGUCGGAAAGCUCUGUUGUAGGAGAAGAACGGGUGUGAGAGUGGAAAGUUCACACUGUGACGGUAUCUUACCAGAAAGGGACGGCUAACUACGUG